GACGUAGGGCGCAAGCGUUGUCCGGAUUUAUUGGGCGUAAAGAGCUCGUAGGCGGCUCGUUGCGUCGGCUGUGAAAACCCGCAGCUCAACUGUGGGCUUGCAGCCGAUACGGGCGGGCCGGAGUUCGGUAGGGGAGACUGGAAUUCCUGGUGUAGCGGUGAAAUGCGCAGAUAUCAGGAGGAACACCGGUGGCGAAGGCGGGUCUCUGGGCCGAUACUGACGCUGAGGCGCGAAAGCUAGGGGAGCAAACGGG
rnacentral:rRNA from 1 species